rnacentral:rRNA from 1 species
CCUACGGGAGGCAGCAGUGAGGAAUAUUGGUCAAUGGGCGAGAGCCUGAACCAGCCAAGUCGCGUGCAGGAUGAAGGAUCUAUGGUUUGUAAACUUCUUUUAUAUGGGAAUAAAGUGAGGAACGUGUUCCUUUUUGUAUGUACCAUAUGAAUAAGCAUCGGCUAAUUCCGUGCCAGCAGCCGCGGUAAUACGGAGGAUUCGAGCGUUAUCCGGAUUUAUUGGGUUUAAAGGGUGCGUAGGUGGUUAAUUAAGUCAGCGGUGAAAGGUUGUGGCUCAAUCAUAAAAUUGCCGUUGAAACUGGUUGACUUGAGGAUAGUGGAGGUAGGCGGAAUGCGUGGUGUAGCGGUGAAAUGCAUAGAUAUCACGCAGAACUCCGAUUGCGAAGGCAGCUUACUAAACUAUAACUGACACUGAAGCACGAAGGCGUGGGGAUCGAACAGGAUUAGAUACCCUAGUAGUC